CAAGGAGCCAGCAGGUGGAUUCUUCGUAAUGGCUCCUUGCACUCCUUCCUCCUGUCAGUAUUUCGUUGUCACCACGACCCACAAAGGCUGGGGCCCCCAUCUCGCUGACCUCUGAGUUUCUGUUCUUUUCCAAUCUGGUAUUUGUUUUGCCUCCAGGGACCCAAAGGACCGCCAGGACACAAAGGGGAAUUUGGCCUUCCCGGACGACCCGGUCGCCCGGGACUGAAUGGCCUCAAGGGCGCCAAAGGCGAUCGAGGGCUCAUGAUGCCGGGCCCACCUGGCUUACCUGGUCCUCCGGGCCCCCCUGGCCCCCCUGGAGCUGUGAUUAACAUCAAAGGAGCUGUCUUCCCAAUACCAAUCCGGCCACACUGCAAAACGCCAGUAAGUAGCAUAUAGUCACCACCUUAAAGAGCAGGUUUGGCACAAAAGGCAACUCAGAGAAGACGAUCAGUGCUUGUCUUGAGCCCCUUCUGUCUGUCAGUGUCCUCUUGGUGUCUUCUAUCACCUACACAUAGACCCUUCCGUGACUAGAAGCUUCUGGAUAACACACCAUGGCAGUGAAACAUGCUGGAUCUUCUAAGGGUGCGCAUGCUGACAGAGUGUUUCUUUUAACACAAUCCAAAAAGCAGUGUCUUUUGUUAUCAUAACCACAUUAGCUUCGUGCUUGGAGCAGUAUAAUAAGGGGGGAAUAGACCCCUUAAAAAUAUAGAUGGGGAAGAACCAGCAAUUCCAGCCAGUGCUCUUUGCAUUGGGAAAUUUGGGCUAAAACCCAAAACUGACUAUGUGCUGUCCUUCCCCAGUUGUCUAUUCCUGCCCAGCACACGACCCCGAGAGGCAGGGGUUCUCUCCCUCUUCAUACCGAGAAAGCAAGCUGUGACUCAGAUAGGUUUGCUGUUCCAAGGUCACGCAACUGGUGGAGCUGAGACCAUCCUUCAAGUCCCCUGGCCUCCGGGCAGCAGGGAGGGGCUUUGUGACCUCCAGGGGUCAAGCACGUGCCCGGUGGCCCAGCGAGUCAGUAACACUGUCCCUGAGGUCUCCUCUGUAUCAGAAGUGUCCUCUUUCUGUGGGGAAACCCGGGGAGGAUGGCC
rnacentral:lncRNA from 1 species